rnacentral:rRNA from 1 species
GCAGUCGAGCGGUAGAGAGAAGCUUGCUUCUCUUGAGAGCGGCGGACGGGUGAGUAAUGCCUAGGAAUCUGCCUGGUAGUGGGGGCUAACGUUCGGAAACGGACGCUAAUACCGCAUACGUCCUACGGGAGAAAGCAGGGGACCUUCGGGCCUUGCGCUAUCAGAUGAGCCUAGGUCGGAUUAGCUAGUUGGUGGGGUAAUGGCUCACCAAGGCGACGAUCCGUAACUGGUCUGAGAGGAUGAUCAGUCACACUGGAACUGAGACACGGUCCAGACUCCUACGGGAGGCAGCAGUGGGGAAUAUUGGACAAUGGGCGAAAGCCUGAUCCAGCCAUGCCGCGUGUGUGAAGAAGGUCUUCGGAUUGUAAAGCACUUUAAGUUGGGAGGAAGGGCAGUAAAUUAAUACUUUGCUGUUUUGACGUUACCGACAGAAUAAGCACCGGCUAACUCUGUGCCAGCAGCCGCGGUAAUACAGGGGGUGCAAGCGUUAAUCGGAAUUACUGGGCGUAAAGCGCGCGUAGGUGGUUAGUUAAGUUGGAUGUGAAAUCCCCGGGCUCAACCUGGGAACUGCAUUCAAAACUGACUGACUAGAGUAUGGUAGA